CUGACAUAAAAAACCGCGGUGGAAGCAGUGCCUUGUAAGUUGUACGGUGUCACACAAGGCAAGGAUUACAGCUUUGACUUGCAGGAUUGCCCUAAUUAUCAUCAAAACAAGAGGAGGUGCUAUUUCUGUGGUUCUUCUUCUUCCCAUGGUUGGUUGGUUUAUUUGGAUGAUAACUAUUUGGUCCUAACCCUCUUUAACCCUUUUACUGGGCGUUCCGUUCGCCUUCCACCAUUCAAAGAAGCCCCAAAAUGGAGACAAGAACGCCUGGAACUGAAUUAUGUGCAUGAUUUGUUCAUUGCCAAGGUUGUAUUGUCUGCUGACCCUUGCUUGUUUCCUAAUUAUUUUGAAGCGCUGAUACUCUACCAUGAACUUUAUUCAGUAGAACCCAAGUAGCCCAUUUUAAGGCAGUGAAUAACACUUGGACUCACAUAGAUACAAGGACGACAUUAGCGGAUGUAAUUUAUCAUAGAGGUCAGUUUCUUGUCGUUACUGAGAAAGGUGAGCUUUUCUCAGUUAAUGUUUAGCAGUGUCCCUGCAGCUAUGACUCGUGCCGGAGCUACCAGACCACCUACACUACACUACUCAAUUUUAAUAGGUACUACCUUGUCGAAUCGUCACGGGGAGAUUUAUGGCUCGUUGUUGACAAGUCUAAUAAAGAAUAAUGUUGGGUGUUGUGUGCUUUUUGGGAUGAUGGAGGACCCCAAUGGGCUGAGAUUAAGAGUAUAGGAACUGAUGCUUUGUUCUUGAGUAAGCAUGAAUCCGUGUGCGUCUCUGUUUUAGACUUUCCGGAGUGUCUUCCAAAUUCCAUAUACAUCCUUGAUCGUGUGUCUAUAUUUGUGUCACUCUUCAACUUGGAAAACAGAAGACUACUGGAAUAUUGCUGGUCAAAAAAUUCUAUGUGCUGGAGCGGGCCAGGAUUUUGGAUUUUGCCCACUAUGGUAUGAGGAGCUGGCUCCACUUUUGUUCUCUACUACUUUCCAUGUGAUUAUUAAUCUGUAUUUUCAUUCCUCACUCACAUGUUCGAUACUGUGUCUAAUUAGUCAAUGUACUCACUGCACGACUCGUGGCUAAUCAUGUUCAUCUUCUCUAUCUUCCCCCACUUUAAUAAUAUUGAUGCGGACAUGAUUACUUAAUUUCCUGAUUUAUUAGUUUGGUCUUUAAGUCCUAGAGUAUCGAGGAGUUCUGGUGUGAAGCCAAAAUUCUUGGAGUUGAGAUUUGUUUUAUUUUCUAUUUUUCAUUAUUUUCGCUUUCGCUAAAUUUACCCAUAUCCUGCAUUAAAUUUGGCAUCAGACCAGGUUAUCGGUUUGUUUUCCUAGGGCUUGAAAAUUUUAGGGUUUUGAAAAUUUCGAGUCUUUUUUUCUGCGCGUAUGUAUGGCUACAACGAAGACUGGUAAGAAUGACCAGCCAGAGAUGGACCCUGAUCGGCUUGCUCUAAUACUGGAAACUCUAACCAACAUGGA
rnacentral:lncRNA from 1 species